CUCGGGGAAUUAUCGACCCCUUGCGCUUUACGGCGCGCGAUUAUUCCAGGUAAUGGGGGAGACUUUCAGUACUGCGGGAGGAAUGACGGAGUAGGAGUGGCUAGAGGGAAGGACCGUCGCAGUUUAACCAUUUCCUAAUAGAGCCAGUCUGCGGUUAUAACAGAAUUUUACAACAGCGUGUUCCGAAACAUUCCGCGAAAAGGGCGCGGUCAGGUUUUCAAACAUUGUCGACGAUUUCCCCUUGUGCUCUCCCGAAAAAUCGGAUCCCGGUUUUCCUCCUGCCCCCCGGUUCGUAUUGGCCGGAACCAAAACCGGGAAGGCUUUUCCUUCUAUUUUUAGGCAAAAGAUGUGCGGUUGGUUCCCCUCCUAAGGGAAAUUCUUUUAAGCCGGGGGGCGGGCCCUUAUUGGAGGGGCAAUUCGGAGGUGGGGUUAAAAUGGUCUGGCCUUUUUCUGAGAAAA
rnacentral:rRNA from 1 species